rnacentral:rRNA from 1 species
AUAAAGUUUUUUUUUUCUGCUCAGAUUGAACGCUGGCGGCAGGCCUAACACAUGCAAGUCGAGCGGUAGCACAGAGAGCUUGCUCUCGGGUGACGAGCGGCGGACGGGUGAGUAAUGUCUGGGAAACUGCCUGAUGGAGGGGGAUAACUACUGGAAACGGUAGCUAAUACCGCAUAACGUCGCAAGACCAAAGUGGGGGACCUUCGGGCCUCAUGCCAUCAGAUGUGCCCAGAUGGGAUUAGCUAGUAGGUGGGGUAACGGCUCACCUAGGCGACGAUCCCUAGCUGGUCUGAGAGGAUGACCAGCCACACUGGAACUGAGACACGGUCCAGACUCCUACGGGAGGCAGCAGUGGGGAAUAUUGCACAAUGGGCGCAAGCCUGAUGCAGCCAUGCCGCGUGUGUGAAGAAGGCCUUCGGGUUGUAAAGCACUUUCAGCGGGGAGGAAGGCGAUAAGGUUAAUAACCUUGUCGAUUGACGUUACCCGCAGAAGAAGCACCGGCUAACUCCGUGCCAGCAGCCGCGGUAAUACGGAGGGUGCAAGCGUUAAUCGGAAUUACUGGGCGUAAAGCGCACGCAGGCGGUCUGUCAAGUCGGAUGUGAAAUCCCCGGGCUCAACCUGGGAACUGCAUUCGAAACUGGCAGGCUAGAGUCUUGUAGAGGGGGGUAGAAUUCCAGGUGUAGCGGUGAAAUGCGUAGAGAUCUGGAGGAAUACCGGUGGCGAAGGCGGCCCCCUGGACAAAGACUGACGCUCAGGUGCGAAAGCGUGGGGAGCAAACAGGAUUAGAUACCCUGGUAGUCCACGCCGUAAACGAUGUCGAUUUGGAGGUUGUGCCCUUGAGGCGUGGCUUCCGGAGCUAACGCGUUAAAUCGACCCGCCCCCG